GAACAAACACAUCUUCAUUUGCAUCCAGCAAGAUGUAACCUUAGCAACAGUGUGUAUUUUUGGACUUCUUUUCAUUUAAUGCAAAUGAGGCACCACCGAUAGACCCGGAAUCUGACGACAGAAUUCAACGUGACCAAUUCAUGUGUCUGAGGCCAUGUCUCUUGCCAGCCCAGCAAGAUUCUGAUUUCCUGUCAUCAGCAUGAAUCGAAGUCAUGCUGGCCCAGAGGACUUCGGAGCCUCCUUCGGAGGCUUGGAGCAAGACUGAUCGGAAAGUGCUAUUUGGCAACAGAAUCCCAGAACCUCCAACUGCCAUAUCACUUGGGAGCUGUGAAGAACUUGAUGGUUCAUUAUUGCCAAUUCCUACCUGGAAGCCCACAUUCUUCUCCUGUGAGCCUUUGCCCAAGCCUGGUGGCACCAGUAUGAACUAGCAGACAUCGUGGCUUAGAAGAAAUCCAAACACCAACAAGAUGUUCCUGUGCACUUUUUGCAGACACACCCACAUGUCGUGGGUGAUUCUUAUCUGCUCAGUUGUGUCUGGCUCCCACUGGCAUAGUCUUCCUUCA
rnacentral:lncRNA from 1 species